rnacentral:rRNA from 1 species
UACAGAGGUCCCAAGCGUUGUUCGGAUUCAUUGGGCGUAAAGGGUGCGUAGGCGGCGCGGUAAGUCGGGUGUGAAGUCUCGGAGCUUAACUCCGAAACUGCAUUCGAUACUGCCGUGCUUGAGGACUGGAGAGGAGACUGGAAUUUACGGUGUAGCGGUGAAAUUCGUAGAUAUCGUAAGGAAGACCAGUGGCGAAGGCGGGUCUCUGGACAGUUCCUGACGCUGAGACGCGAAAGCGUGGGGAGCGAACAGG